UGGGGAAUAUUGGACAAUGGGCGCAAGCCUGAUCCAGCGACGCCGCGUGUGUGAAGAAGGCCUGCGGGUUGUAAAGCACUUUCGAUGGGAACGAAAUGUGCCGGGUUAAUACCCCGGUAAGCUGACGUUACUCAAUGAAGAAGCACCGGCUAACUCUGUGCCAGCAGCCGCGGUAAUACAGAGGGUGCGAGCGUUAAUCGGAAUUACUGGGCGUAAAGCGCACGUAGGUGGCGACGUAAGUCGGGUGUGAAAGCCCCGGGCUCAACCUGGGAAUUGCAUUCGAGACUGCAUUGCUGGAGUACGGAAGAGGAGGGCGGAAUUCCCGGUGUAGCGGCGGAAUGCGUAGAGAUCGGGAGGAACAUCGGUGGCGAAGGCGGCCAGCUGGGCCGUUGCUGACGCUGAGGCGCGAAAGCGUGGGGAGCGAACAGGAUUAGAUACCCUUGUAGUCCCUGAGCGGGCUGGCAAGGCGCAU
rnacentral:rRNA from 1 species